rnacentral:rRNA from 1 species
AGGUGGGGAUGACGUCAAAUCAGCACGGCCCUUACGUCCGGGGCUACACACGUGUUACAAUGGCCGGUACAGAGGGAUGGUGUAAUGCAAAUUGCAUCAAAUCUUGAAAGCCGGUCCCAGUUCGGACUGGGGUCUGCAACCCGACCCCACGAAGCUGGAUUCGCUAGUAAUCGCGCAUCAGCCAUGGCGCGGUGAAUACGUUCCCGGGCCUUGUACACACCGCCCGUCAAGCCAUGAAAGCCGGGGGUGCCUGAAGUCCGUGACCGCAAGGAUCGGCCUAGGGCAAAACUGGUGAUUGGGGCUAAGUCGUAACAAGGUAGCCGUACCGGAAGGUGCGGCUGGAACACCUCCUUUCUGGAG